ensembl:lncRNA
CCCAGGCAUAUGCACAGAAAUCUAAAUCUGCGGCAGGGGUCACACAGAGCAUUUUAAAGUUUCUGUACCAGUGCCAAAGCAUAUUCUGACUGACCAAGGAAAAGAAUUUGUCAGUGCUAUUAACACACAAGUGUGCAAAAUACUUGGCAUUAGGAGGAGUCUCUGUGCACCCUAUCACCCCCAAACAAAUGGGUUGGUAGACAGACUUAAUGGCACUAUAGAAAGGGCUCUCGGCAAGCGAGUAGAUGAGAGCUGUACCUGGAUGCAGUAA